GGAAGGGCUGUGAAGUCAUGUGGGAAAGUGGAGGCUACAAGAAGGAGUGAAGAAUUGGAGCCAUCAGCAUAAAGCACCACAAGGCUCUAGAAUCAAGCUCAUGACAAGCAGGAGGUAUGCUCAGGAAUUUCACAAGAUGGUAUAUCCAGGAGGCAGUGACAAAAUUAAGACAAACGGAAGCAAGGCCAAUGGUCUUAACUCUGAGAAAAUCCCAAGGAGCUGGUGGCAACCUGAUUUUUUGCAUCCAUUAUAAGUGACCUGGGAAAAGUGAAGAAAGGGUCAGAUAGAAGGAUAGAAGAGAAUCCCGCAGAAGAAAGGCCAGUCUCUCUAGCGGCGCUUUGUCAAGAAGUCAUGCUUUCCCACUCGGAUCUACAAAGGUAUGAUGAGCAACCUUCUCAUGGUGCUGCCAAUGGAGGAUAUGGAGCCCAACACUGAGGAGACAGCAAAGGAUCACCAAGACCUGAGGGUCAGAGGGUAUUAGAGAUGCGGUCAUCAGUUGCAAGGCUGUUGCAAGCCCAAGAUGGAACUCCUGAUAGAAACAGGGGGGUGGGGGGGGGUGUCCCUUCACCUCCUAAGAGCAGCCCCCUGAUACAGCUGCCACAUCCACUGAACCUCUCCUUAUCCUGGUCCCUUCCAGUUAUCCAAGUUGAGCAGCCCCAUUUUGGGCUGCCCUUUCCUCCUUAGCUGUCCUAGGCUUCAAGAUCAAUUAUUUCAAGCAAGUGUUCGGCACCACCCAGUUUCCUCUCCUCACUGAUGCCACCCACCUCAGCCAAUCCCGUCCAUCCCUUACCUAGGAUGAGUCCAGCCGUUCAUUUCUUCAGUUCCCGGCCCUGAGGUGAAAGCUUCUACUGGGAGAAAAAACCCCAAACCAAAAGCAAGAGCUAAGCCAGAAGCUAGACCAGGACCGGCUCUUCUACCCUGUGUAAUUCCUGGCCCGUUCUUGUCUUCUCAUGCCUGCCCAGAAGUUUCAUCCAUUUCCCAAGGCAGCGAUUUCAGAACAUCAUUUCUUCUUCCUCUUUUUUUUUUUAAGUUUACUUAUUUAUUUUCAGAGAGAGAGAGAGAGCAUGCACACAGGGAAGAGGGGCAGAGGGUGAGAAUCCCAAGCAGGAUCUGCUGCACUGGCACCCACUCGGGGCUCGAACUCACAAGCCCAUGAGAUCAUGACCUAAGUCGAAAUCAAGCGUUGAAUGCUCAACCGACUGAGCCACCCAGGCGCCGCUCAGAGCAUCAUUUCUUAUCUCGAAUCCUGAACCUACCCUGAGCCUCUCACUCUCAACAGAAGGCUCUAGCCUCCGCUUCACGGAGAAUAAUAGAAGUCACUACGCGGCCAGAGAUCCCUUCAAACCUCCUCCAUCCAGCCCCAUCUCCAGCUGUCGUUCCUUUCUCCACUCAGAAAGUUGUUUCCCUGUCCCUGCCAAGGCUCACCGUCUGAUACACUCUCAAUUCUCUGCUGCCUCUCUUUUCUGGUGCUUGUUUCAUCGAUUAGUUUUCUCUUCUGCACUUUCAGUGCCCUUAUUUAAUUCUUCCCUCAUUCUGUUGACAUACUCAAAUCACUGUCGUUGUUUUAACAGAUACAAAUCUCUACAUCUCUUCUUUCUUCUGUGGUCACUAACAGCUUUUCUCCUUCCUCACCACCUCGUGUAGCAAAGUUUGUAUUUUCUGCCUUCCUCAUCUCCCAUUUUCUCAACUCCCUGGGGCCUCCCAUUAACGCCAUCAUGGUAACGGAAAGCAUUGUCUGUGGUCACACCCGGAUGAAUGUCCAUAACUUCUGUCUCAGUCAAGCAGCAACUGUCUUGCUUGACACAUUGUGGUGGACCCUGGUGUUCCCACGCAGAUCCACCUCCCAUCCCCUGCCGGAUGGAGACACUCGAUCCCAGCUGCUGGGAGCUUACCCCUGAGUUCUUCCCCAGUGACUGCUCCCAGGAGAAGGGAUCCCCUCACUCAAGGUUACUCUCCACUCCAGAGGCAGCCCGCAUUCACUGACUUGUUGAUCAAGGGACAUCUUUGGGGAACCCGCCAAGCUUCAGACCUUUCCACGAGAUGGACUGAAACCUUUGUGGAAACUCAUUGCAAGUUUGAUUUCUCCAACAAAAGGAAUUCUGUCCGGUCCGCCUUUCUUCCCUUCCCCAACAUCUGUUGCUUCUGAGAGCAUUCCCCAAUAAACUUCCUGCAAGCAAAUGUCUAUUUCAGAGUCUUUUUACUGGAGAACUUCGUAUGAGACACAGGGGAAGCCAUUUAUUUCCCUGGAAAAGCUAGUAAUGGAGUCAGAAAUUCCUCUCUCUCUUUAUCUCAGCAUUUGCCUGUCAGGCUCCUUUGCUGGUACAUGCUGUCCCAGGAAGCCUUGAUCAGGCUGAAUCCACAAACUUAAUUUUGCUCAGGCAACAAAUGAAGUUGAGUCUCAGUUAUGAGGUCUUUGUUCAAUUUCUUCAUUUUUUGAAUAACUUUUCUUCAGGGCAAUACUGGAUCAAAGACUCUACGUUGGAACUGUGGUCAAAUU